AUACGUAGGGGGCGAGCGUUAUCCGGAUUUAUUGGGCGUAAAGCGUGUGUAGGCGGUUUGUUAAGUUUAAGAUUAAAGCCCGAGGCUUAACCUCGGUUCGUCUUAAAAACUGGCAGACUUGAGUGCAGUAGAGGCAAGUGGAAUUUCUAGUGUAGCGGUUAAAUGCGUAGAUAUUAGAAGGAACACCAGUGGCGAAGGCGGCUUGCUGGACUGUAACUGACACUGAGGCAUGAAUGCGUGGGGAGCAAACAGGAUUAGAUACCCGGGUAGCCCACGCCGUAAACGAUGGGUACUAGGUGUAGGAGGUAUCGACCCCUUCUGUGCCGUCGUUAACACAAUAAGUACCCCGCCUGGGGAGUACGGUCGCAAGACUAAAACUCAAAGGAAUUGACGGGG
rnacentral:rRNA from 1 species